AGAGUUUGAUCCUGGCUCAGAACGAACGCUGGCGGCAGGCCUAACACAUGCAAGUCGAGCGAGGACUUCGGUCCUAGCGGCGGACGGGUGAGUAACGCGUGGGAACGUGCCCUUUGCUACGGAAUAGCCUCGGGAAACUGGGAGUAAUACCGUAUGUGCUCGAAGGAGGAAAGAUUUAUCGGCAAAGGAUCGGCCCGCGUUGGAUUAGGUAGUUGGUGGGGUAAUGGCCUACCAAGCCGACGAUCCAUAGCUGGUUUGAGAGGAUGAUCAGCCACACUGGGACUGAGACACGGCCCAGACUCCUACGGGAGGCAGCAGUGGGGAAUCUUAGACAAUGGGCGCAAGCCUGAUCUAGCCAUGCCGCGUGAGCGAUGAAGGCCUUAGGGUUGUAAAGCUCUUUCAGCUGGGAAGAUAAUGACGGUACCAGCAGAAGAAGCCCCGGCUAACUCCGUGCCAGCAGCCGCGGUAAUACGGAGGGGGCUAGCGUUGUUCGGAAUUACUGGGCGUAAAGCGCACGUAGGCGGACUGGAAAGUCAGGGGUGAAAUCCCGGGGCUCAACCCCGGAACUGCCUUUGAAACUCCCAGUCUUGAGGUCGAGAGAGGUGAGUGGAAUUCCGAGUGUAGAGGUGAAAUUCGUAGAUAUUCGGAGGAACACCGGUGGCGAAGGCGGCUCACUGGCUCGAUACUGACGCUGAGGUGC
rnacentral:rRNA from 1 species